rnacentral:lncRNA from 1 species
UCUAAGCCUUCUGAACUUAUUUUAAUCAAAUAUCUUCACCACAAAUGAUCUUUUCCUCAUACCUUAGGUGCCGAACUUUACGAGUGAGUCUUUUUCCUUCAAUUUAGAUCUUUUCUUCAAUCUUCCGCAAUCAACUCUUUCACGACUCCAUUCAACAUUACGAAAUCCGCCAACCUAUAAAAUCCUUAACAGAACCCGAUG